rnacentral:rRNA from 1 species
AAUCGUAACAAGGUUUCUGUAGGUGAACCUGCAGAAGGAUCAUUAGUGAAGAUUUGGGCAGGCCAUACGGACGCCAAAAAGUGUCCCUGGCCGCCUACACCCACUAUACAUCCACAAACCCGUGUGCACUGUCUUGGAGAAAGGCUUCAGAGAAGUUUUUUGUGGCCUCUCUUGGGGUCUUUCUUCGCUACAAACUCGAAUGGUUAGUAUGAACGUGGAACUUGGUUGGACCGUCACUGGCCAACAAACUAUACACAACUUUCGACAACGGAUCUCUUGGUUCUCCCAUCGAUGAAGAACGCAGCGAAACGCGAUAGGUAAUGUGAAUUGCAGAAUUCCGUGAAUCAUCGAAUCUUUGAACGCACCUUGCGCUCUAUGGCAAUCCGUAGAGCAUGCCUGUUUGAGUGCCAUGAAAUCUCCCACCCCAAGCGGUUUUUAAAUGAAACGGCUUGGCGGAUGGGGUCUGGAUGGGUGCCUCUGCCUGCGCUACCUAGCACAGGCUCGCCCGAAAUGCAUGAGCGCCUUGAGACACUUUGCAUCCGCCUCUCUGUUUGGGAGGAGGCGGCCAAGCAGUGUUUUUCUCCUGGCAUGGCAUGAUACGUCAUUUGCUAUGUCGCCUAAAGGAGGAAUGUUUGGUUGUGUCUGCGUGUGCUUCGAACUUGCCUCUGUGGCACAUCCCAAUUUCACUUCUGGUCUCAAAUCAGGUAGGAUCACCCGCUGAACUUAAGCAU